CAGAGACUGGUCAUUAAGGAGCAGGUAGGUGUUAGACAGUACAGAGACUGGUCAUUAAGGAGCAGGUAGGGGUUAGACAGUACAGAGACAGGUCAUUAAGGAGCAGGUAGGUGUUAGACAGUACAGAGAAAGGUCAUUAAGGAGCAGGUAGGGGUUAGACAGUACAGAGACUGGUCAUCAAGGAGCAGGUAGGGGUUAGACAGUACAGAGACUGGUCAUUAAGGAGCAGGUAGGGGUUAGACAGUACAGAGACGGUCCAUUAAAGAGCAGGUAGGGGUUAGACAGUACAGAGACAGUCCAUUAAAGAGCAGGUAGGGGUUAGAGGAUUUGUGCUCUAUAGCAUAGUACAGGUAAGACUGUGGACAUUGGGG
ensembl:lncRNA